AAAAUAAUCCUACCCUUUGUGAAUUUUGUUUGUUUGAAUAAUUUUUUUUUUUAAAAAAUUAUUGGAGUCUUUCCCUUUAGAGUUUGCUUUUGAGUUUGUAAAAGAAUUCGAAAACAUCUAAGGGGAUGGUCAAUAAUUUUUUUUGAAAAAAGACAUUUUUUAAAAUUAAACUUUUGUAUUCAUUUGUCUAAAAAUUAUUUUUAUAAUAUAAAAACAACUUUUGACAAUGGGAUCUUCUUGGUUCUCGCAACGAUGAAGAACGCAGCAAAAUGCGAUAAGUAGUGUGAAUUGCAGAAUACGUGAAUCAUCGAAUCUUUGAACGCAUAUUGCACUUUUUAGUUUACUAAAAAAGUAUGUCUGUUUGAGUAUCAGUAAAAUAUUCUCAUAAAAUCAUUGUGUAUUUUAUGGUUAUAAGUGUUUUACAACGAUACAAGUUGUUUCACUUUAAAUUUUUUUUUAAUAUUGAAAUUUUUCUAAUUUUAAUAAUUAAAAUUGGAUAAAAUUUUCCCGUCAAAAGGAAUAACCUAAACAAUUUUAAAUGAUUAAUUUUAGCAAAAUUUUCGUAAAAAAGGAAAAUUUUUAUUAAAAUAACUUGAUCUCAAAUCAGAUAAGAGUACCCGCUGAACUUAAGCAUAUCAAUAAGCGGAGGAAAAGAAACUAACAAGGAUUCCCUUAGUAACGGCGAGUGAAGCGGGAAGAGCUCAAAUUUGAAAUCUUCAAGGUUUUACCUUGACGAAUUGUAGUUUAAAGAAGUGUUUUCUGCUGAAGUUUUGGUAAAGUUCUUUGGAAUAGGACAUCAUAGAGGGUGAGAAUCCCGUAUUUGACCAUUAUUUUCAGCUUUGUGAUACACUUUCAAAGAGUCGGAUUGUUUGGGAAUGCAGUCCAAAAUGGGUGGUAAAUUUCAUCUAAAGCUAAAUAUUGGCGAGAGACCGAUAGCGAACAAGUACCGUGAGGGAAAGAUGAAAAGAACUUUGAAAAGAGAGUUAAACAGUACGUGAAAUUGUCAAAAGGGAAGCGUUUGACACCAGUGUUGUUUUCUCGAAAAUCAAUUAAAAAUGGCUCGAUUUGUAUUGCUGAGACCUUAAAAGCUCACUGUACAUUUUUCGUGUCUUUUUUAAUGCACUUUUCGUUUAACAAGUCAACAUCAGUUUCUUUUGUUGUAAAAGGGUCAUUGGAAGGUGGCUUUCUUUUCGGAGAAAGUGUUUAUAGCCUUUGGCCUCUGCAAUCGAAGAGACUGAGGUCUGCAGCGUAGACUCUUCGGGGUUAGAUACAUUUGUGCUAAGUUAUAGCUUUUUAUAGACAACUUGUUGACUAUAAUUAGUCUUGUAGCUUACUCGCUUAUGCUAUUU
rnacentral:misc_RNA from 1 species